ACGCUCGACACCUACGGGGGGCAGCAGUGGGGAAUAUUGCACAAUGGGGGAAACCCGUGAUGCAGCGACGCCGCGUGAGCGAAGAAGUAUUUCGGUAUGUAAAGCUCUAUCAGCAGGGAAGAAACUGACGGUACCUGACUAAGAAGCACCGGCUAAAUACGUGCCCGCAGCCGCGGUAAUCUGAGCGGGCUGGCAAGGC
rnacentral:rRNA from 1 species